GACAGAGGGUGCGAACGUUGUUCGGAAUUACUGGGCGUAAAGCGCGUGUAGGCUGUUCGGAAAGUCGGGUGUGAAAGCCCUGGGCUCAACCUAGGAAGUGCACUCGAAACUCCCGAACUGGAGUCCCGGAGAGGAAGGCGGAAUUCUCGGUGUAGAGGUGAAAUUCGUAGAUAUCGAGAGGAACAUCGGUGGCGAAGGCGGCCUUCUGGACGGUGACUGACGCUGAGACGCGAAAGCGUGGGGAGCGAACAGG
rnacentral:rRNA from 1 species